rnacentral:rRNA from 1 species
GAUGAACGCUGGCGGCGUGCCUAAUACAUGCGAGUCGAGCGAACAGACGAGGAGCUUGCUCCUCUGACGUUAGCGGCGGACGGGUGAGUAACACGUGGAUAACCUACCUAUAAGACUGGGAUAACUUCGGGAAACCGGAGCUAAUACCGGAUAAUAUAUUGAACCGCAUGGUUCAAUAGUGAAAGACGGUUUUGCUGUCACUUAUAGAUGGAUCCGCGCCGCAUUAGCUAGUUGGUAAGGUAACGGCUUACCAAGGCGACGAUGCGUAGCCGACCUGAGAGGGUGAUCGGCCACACUGGAACUGAGACACGGUCCAGACUCCUACGGGAGGCAGCAGUAGGGAAUCUUCCGCAAUGGGCGAAAGCCUGACGGAGCAACGCCGCGUGAGUGAUGAAGGUCUUCGGAUCGUAAAACUCUGUUAUUAGGGAAGAACAAAUGUGUAAGUAACUAUGCACGUCUUGACGGUACCUAAUCAGAAAGACACGGCUAACUACG